CCAUAGCCCGGAUUGAACGGUAUGUUUGAGCUCUUUUUGCUGAAAGGAAAAGUAAAGCGCAAAAAAGCGAGGAGUGAAAGCCGGAUGAAGC
rnacentral:misc_RNA from 1 species